AAUCUGGCGCAAUGGGUGAAAGCCUGUGGCAGCGACGCCGCGUGGGGGAUGAAUCCUUUAGGGUUGUAAUCCCCUUUCACGAGGGAAGAAACUGCCGGUACCUCGAGAAGAAGCCCCGGCCAAUUUCGUUCCAGCAGCCGCGGUAAUACGUAGGGGUCGAGCGUUGUCCGGAUUUAUUGGGCGUAAAGGGCUCGUAGGCGGCUGGGCAAGUCGGCCGUGAAAACCCAGGGCUCAACCCUGAGACGCCGGUCGAUACUGCCAUGGAUAGGGCCCGGUAGAGGGGAAUAGAAUUCCCGGUGUAGCGGUGAAAUGCGCAGAUAUCGGGAGGAACACCAGUAGCGAAGGCGGUUCCCUGGGCCGGCACCGACGCUGAGGAGCGAAAGCGUGGGGAGCAAACAGGAUUAGAUACCCUGGUAGUCCACGCCCUA
rnacentral:rRNA from 1 species